rnacentral:rRNA from 1 species
GACGAACGCUGGCGGCGCGCCCAACACAUGCAAGUCGAGCGACGAAACUCCCUUCGGGGAGCUGAAAGCGGCGAACGGGUGAGUAACACGUGGGUAACCAACCCUCGGUUCCGGGAUAGCUCGCCGAAAGGCGGAUUAAUACCGGAUGGCCUCACCGGCUCUCGGGCUGGUGAGAAAAGGUAGCUUCGGCCUCCGACCGGGGACGGGCCUGCGUCCGAUUAGCUAGUUGGUGGGGUAAAGGCUCACCAAGCCAACGAUCUGUAGCUGGUCUGAGAGGACGACCAGCCACACUGGGACUGAGACACGGCCCAGACUCCUACGGGAGGCAGCAGUGGGGAAUCUUGGACAAUGGGCGCAAGCCUGAUCCAGCAAUGCCGCGUGCAGGAAGAAGGCCUUCGGGUUGUAAACUGCUUUUGUACGGAACGAAACGGUCCUGGUUAAUACCCGGGGCUAAUGACGGUACCGUAAGAAUAAGCACCGGCUAACUACGUGCCAGCAGCCGCCGUAACAC